UAUCGACACAUGAGCGUUAGUUACAUUUUAAAGUGCCCAUUCAGACAGGGAUAACUGUUAAUUUUGAAUUUUUUCUCAUCA